UGGAGUCUAGUGGUCUCAGCAGGCAUC
rnacentral:piRNA from 1 species